rnacentral:rRNA from 1 species
GACGAACGCUGGCGGCGUGCUUAACACAUGCAAGUCGAACGCUGAAGCCCUUCGGGGUGGAUGAGUGGCGAACGGGUGAGUAACACGUGGGUAAUCUGCCCUGCACUCUGGGAUAAGCCUUGGAAACGGGGUCUAAUACCGGAUAGGACACAUCGCCGCAUGGUGUGUGUGGAAAGUUCCGGCGGUGCAGGUUGAGCCCGCGGCCUAUCAGCUUGUUGGUGGGGUGAUGGCCUACCAAGGCGACGACGGGUAGCCGGCCUGAGAGGGUGACCGGCCACACUGGGACUGAGACACGGCCCAGACUCCUACGGGAGGCAGCAGUGGGGAAUCUUGCGCAAUGGGCGAAAGCCUGACGCAGCAACGCCGCGUGGGGGAUGACGGCCUUCGGGUUGUAAACCUCUUUCGACCGGGACGAAGGAUUCGUUUGACGGUACCGGUAGAAGAAGCACCGGCUAACUACGUGCCAGCCGCCGCGGUAAUAC